AUCCAGCUAACGAGUCCCAAAUAGGACGAAACGCUUGUCCUUAAU
rnacentral:hammerhead_ribozyme from 1 species